GCCCUCUCCCUCAAAGGGCACUUGAGCACAUCUUAAGAAGGUGUUUGUCUACAAGCCAAGAAUCAGGUGCUCGCCAUGAACCAAAUUUGCCAGAACUUGAUCUUGUAUUUUCUAAUCUCUAUAACUAUUUUCCAUGGAUUUAACUCUGUUGAAAGUUCUGAACAAGGCAUCCACUAAAGUCGUUACCAGAGAGGAAAACAUGGCUUUGGGUCACCCUCAGAUAACCUGAAAGUAGCAAAAAAAAUAUUAUGCAAUGACUAAAAAGUUGGAGCUGUGCAGCAAUAAUACCAGGAGAAAAUUGGCAUCAUCUUUUGCUUCUUAAGAUGUAUUAACAUAUAAAAAAGAGACUGAAAGGAGACUAAGAAGAUUUAUGAGACUAGCAAGAUUUAUAAAAGAUCAGCGGGAAGUAAAUAGCACUGACAUAAGUCCUUUAAUAAAAAGAGCCCUCUUAGUCUUUGAGACCUUUGAAUCCAGUUCUUUGUGACUCAUCCCAGUAAUUACU